UUGGGGAGAGGGAACCAAGAAGUGGCUAGUGCUACCUUUUAAGGGCCUUGUGGCGAGUAGUUCUGCCUUGAUUGUGCUGCCUGAUGAAGGCCAAAUAGUUAAUGGUUCAAACUGGUGUCUUAACUUUUCCUACAGGUGGCAAAGGGAGUUUGGAGGCAGAACUCGAACCCGCCACGUGCAGUGGGUAUUCCCUUUGGCAUGGCUAGUGACAUGGCAGCGUCUCAAACCCAUCGCCUGCACCAGUUAUUGGCUUUAGCAUGAUUAAUGAUGCGGCUGAGUCUCAAGCCCACCAUCUGCAAGAGUUGGUGAAUAACAGUCUGCCCAAAUGGACCAACUUAAUGAGGCAUUCACCUGUUGCUAGCAUGUUAUUUAUUAUCCUGGAAUUUAUUAAACAUGCAUGUUAGUCUUCUUCCGAUGGACUUCUGUGAAUUACCAGUCAUUCUUCCCAGCUCACACUAUGCAUCAGGUUACUCGACCACUUAUUGAUGGUACAGGUUGAUGGAGAACUUCUGUCUUUCCGAGGCUGAUAGUUAGUCUGAAGAGUUCCGAGGCCUCAGCAAACUUGUUGACA